GUCCCUAUCGUCUAGAGGCCUAGGACAUCGCCCUUUCACGGCGGUAACCGGGGUUCGAAUCCCCGU
rnacentral:tRNA from 42 species